AUUGAACGCUGGCGGCAGGCCUAACACAUGCAAGUCGAGCGGUAGCACAGAGAGCUUGCUCUCGGGUGACGAGCGGCGGACGGGUGAGUAAUGUCUGGGAAACUGCCUGAUGGAGGGGGAUAACUACUGGAAACGGUAGCUAAUACCGCAUAACGUCGCAAGACCAAAGUGGGGGACCUUCGGGCCUCAUGCCAUCAGAUGUGCCCAGAUGGGAUUAGCUAGUAGGUGGGGUAACGGCUCACCUAGGCGACGAUCCCUAGCUGGUCUGAGAGGAUGACCAGCCACACUGGAACUGAGACACGGUCCAGACUCCUACGGGAGGCAGCAGUGGGGAAUAUUGCACAAUGGGCGCAAGCCUGAUGCAGCCAUGCCGCGUGUGUGAAGAAGGCCUUCGGGAUGUAAAGCACUUUCAGCGGGGAGGAAGGCGGUGAGGUUAAUAACCUCAUCGAUUGACGUUACCCGCAGAAGAAGCACCGGCUAACUCCGUGCCAGCCGCCGCAGUAAGAC
rnacentral:rRNA from 1 species